UACGGGGGGGGCAAGCGUUGUUCGGAAUUACUGGGCGUAAAGGGUUCGUAGGUGGCUUGCUUAGUCAGACGUGAAAUCCCUCGGCUUAACCGGGGAACUGCGUCUGAUACUGGCGAGCUUGAGUGCAGGAGAGGAACGCGGAAUUCCAGGUGUAGCGGUGAAAUGCGUAGAUAUCUGGAGGACACCGGUGGCGAAGGCGGCGUUCUGGACUGCAACUGGACACUGAUGAACGAAAGCCAGGGGAGCAAACGGG
rnacentral:rRNA from 1 species